UUAAGGACCUAGUGUUGCACAAUUACGGGGUACCAAUGGUAGUCGGUUGAGGUAUGUAUCAUUAUACUCUCAGGGGAAGGAUGUUCAGCUCCGUCCAUUCGACCAUCUUGUCUCAGCUGCAGAAGCAGGUGCUUUGGUUUGCCUGUUUACAAAUCCCAUAUGGCUGGUGAAAACACGAAUGCAACUACAGACACCUGGACAUACUGCACCUUACUCUGGAUUUUCUGCCAGAUGCUUUGAGAACUAUUCUGAAAGAGGAGGGAUGACUAGCACUUUAUAGAGGGAUUGGACCUGGACUUAUGUAGGGCA